rnacentral:tRNA from 2 species
GCCCGCAUAGCUCAGUCGGUAGAGCAUCAGACUUUUAAUCUGAGGGUCGCGGGUUCAAGUCCCUCUGCGGGCG